rnacentral:rRNA from 1 species
CAAUAGCGUAUAUUAAAGUUGUUGCGGUUAAAAAGCUCGUAGUUGGAUUUCUGCUGAGGGUGACCGGUCCGCCCUCCGGGUGAGUAUCUGGCUCAACCUUGGCAUCUUCCUGAAGAACGUAACUGCACUUGACUGUGUGGUGCGGUAUUUAGGACAUUUACUUUGAGGAAAUUAGAGUGUUUCAAGCAAGCGCACGCCUUGAAUACAUUAGCAUGGAAUAAUAAGAUAGGACCUCGGAUCUAUUUUGUUGGUUUCUAGAGCUGAGGUAAUGAUUGAUAGGGAUAGUUGGGGGCAUUCGUAUUUAACUGUCAGAGGUGAAAUUCUUGGAUUUGUUAAGGACGGACUACUGCGAAAGCAUUUGCCAAGGAUGUUUUCAUUGA